AGCGAACGCUGGCGGCAGGCUUAACACAUGCAAGUCGAACGGUCCUUCGGGAUAGUGGCGGACGGGUGAGUAACACGUGGGAACGUACCCUUAGGUUCGGAACAACACAGGGAAACUUGUGCUAAUACCGGAUAAGCCCUUCGGGGGAAAGAUUUAUCGCCUUUGGAGCGGCCCGCGUCUGAUUAGCUUGUUGGUGAGGUAAUGGCUCACCAAGGCUACGAUCAGUAGCUGGUCUGAGAGGAUGGCCAGCCACACUGGGACUGAGACACGGCCCAGACUCCGACGGGAGGCAGCAGUGGGGAAUCUUGCGCAAUGGGCGAAAGCCUGACGCAGCCAUGCCGCGUGGAUGAUGAAGGUCUUAGGAUUGUAAAAUCCUUUCACCGGGGACGAUAAUGACGGUACCCGGAGAAGAAGCCCCGGCUAACUUCGUGUCAGCCGCCGCAGUAA
rnacentral:rRNA from 1 species